rnacentral:rRNA from 1 species
UGAAUACGAGAUGCUACGGCGUCGAAGCAGUGUAUGUCAGACUUCCAAGAAAAGCUCGCAAUGUCAUAAAUAAAGAAUGCCUGUACCAUAACCGACACAGGUGGGUAGGUAGAGUAUACUAAGGGGCGCGAGAUAACUCUCUCUAAGGAACUCGGCAAAAUAACUCCGUAACUUCGGGAGAGGAGUGCCUUCUUUAAGAAGGUUGCAAUAACAAGAUCCAAGCAACUGUUUAUCAAAAACACAGGUCUCCGCUAAGUCGUAAGACGAUGUAUGGGGGCUGACGCCUGCCCAGUGCCAGAAGGUUAAAGAAGUUGGUUAGCUUUUGCGAAGCUGAUGACUGAAGCCCUGGUGAACGGCGGCCGUAACGAUAACGGUCCUAAGGUAGCGAAAUUCCUUGUCAGGUAAGUUCCGACCCGCACGAAAGGCGUAAUGAUUUGGAUACUGUCUCGGAGAGGGACUCGGUGAAAUAGACUUGUCUGUGAAGAUGCGGACUACCUGCACCAGGACAGAAAGACCCUAUGAAGCUUUACUGUAACUUGAAAUUGAAAUUGGACUUUAUUUGCGCAGUAUAGGUGGAAGGCGUUGAAAGUAAUCUUGCGGGAUUAGUGGAGCCAUCAGUGAGAUACCACUCCUAUAAUGUUAGAUUUCUAACUUUGGAUCAUGAUCUGGUCAAAGAACAGUUUCAGGCGGGCAGUUUGACUGGGGCGGUCGCCUCCCAAAUGGUAACGGAGGCGUACAAAGGUUUCCUCUGAACGGGUAGAAAUCGUAUCUAGAGUGUAAAGGCAUAAGGAAGCUUGACUGUGAGACCUACAAGUCGAGCAGGGACGAAAGUCGGUCUUAGUGAUCUGACGGUGCUGAGUGGAAAGGCCGUCACUCAACGGAUAAAAGUUACUCUAGGAUAACAGGCUGAUCUCCCCCAAGAGUUCACAUCGACGGGGAGGUUUGGCACCUCGAUGUCGGCUCAUCGCAUCCUGGGGCGGUAGUACGUCCCAAGGGUUGGGCUGUUCGCCCAUGAAAGCGGUACGCGAGCUGGGUUCAGAACGUCGUGAGACAGUUCGGUCCAUAUCCGGUGUAGGCGUUAGAAUAUUGAGAGGAGCCUUCUUUAGUACGAGAGGACCGAGAAGGACAUACCUCUGGUGUACCAGUUAUCGUGCCAACGGUAAACGCUGGGUAGCUAUGUAUGGAGAGGAUAACCGCUGAAAGCAUCUAAGUGGGAAGCCCACCUCAAGAUGAGUAUUCUCAG